UCUAAAUUUUCUUGGAGGAGGCAGCGCCUGUAGGAGAUUUCGUUGUGGCGAUUUCUGACAAGGUAAGGUCUUCACCUCUCUCUUCCAACUCCGACGAGUCUCUCGACACUCGGCCGGCGGUGACUGGCACUGGCUGACUAUGAGAACCUGCGGCUGGCCCUGGUGAGGGGGAGUGUGAAGCACAAGAGGGAUUGCUCCUGGCGAGGGACAUCCGGUGAUGAUGUUGAGCGGAAGGCAUCAGUUAUGGUAUCAUCGCUAAAAUCAUCGUUGAAGGAAGUGUGUAGCCUAGAAGACUUGAUGGAGAGAAUAGCUCUAUAUGAGUAGAAAAGUUGCAAGGAGGCCCUCAUUAUGAUGAAUCAAGGUUGCAAGAAAUUAAUGGUUCCUCCAAACACAAGAAAAAAGAAGUUGUAGAUGGUGGUGAUGAAUCUUCUUGAUUGGUCAGACGCAAUGAAAAUUAAUAUCGGAGGGAAAAAGAUAUUGGAAGAAAAUGGAGAAGAUUUAGUGAUGUUUGGAUAUUUUUUAUGAAUGGAUGGUUUAAAACUUCUUAUGUUGUUUGGAUUGUAUCAAUAUUUUGUGAUGUUUGGAUUUGAUGUAUGAAUUGUGAUUUGAUUUAACAUAUAGUUUUAUUUUGUUA